AGUGAACGCUGGCGGUAGGCCUAACACAUGCAAGUCGAACGGCAGCACAGUAAGAGCUUGCUCUUACGGGUGGCGAGUGGCGGACGGGUGAGGAAUACAUCGGAAUCUACUUUUUCGUGGGGGAUAACGUAGGGAAACUUACGCUAAUACCGCAUACGACCUACGGGUGAAAGCAGGGGAUCUUCGGACCUUGCGCGAUUGAAUGAGCCGAUGUCGGAUUAGCUAGUUGGCGGGGUAAAGGCCCACCAAGGCGACGAUCCGUAGCUGGUCUGAGAGGAUGAUCAGCCACACUGGAACUGGGACACGGGCCAGACUCCGACGGGAGGCAGCAGUGGGGAAUAAUGGGCAAUGGGCGCAAGCAUGAUCCAGCCAUACCGCGUGGGUGAAGAAGGCCAUCGGGUUGUAAAGCCCUUUUGUUGGGAAAGAAAAGCAGCAGGUUAAGACCCCGCUGUUCUGACGGUACCCAAAGAAUAAGCACCGGCUAACUUCGUG
rnacentral:rRNA from 1 species